UACAGAGGGGGCAAGCGUUAUUCGGAAUUAUUGGGCGUAAAGGGCGCGUAGGCGGCGAUUCAAGUGACGGGUGAAAUCCCUCGGCUUAACCGAGGAACUGCCUGUCAGACUGGAUUGCUUGAGGCCGGGAGAGGCGAGUGGAAUUCCCAGUGUAGCGGUGAAAUGCGUAGAUAUUGGGAAGAACACCGGUGGCGUAAGCGGCUUGCUGGGCUUUAACUGACACUGAGGAACGAAAGCUAGGGGAGCGAAUGGG
rnacentral:rRNA from 1 species